rnacentral:rRNA from 1 species
AGUCGAACGGCAGCACGGGGGCAACCCUGGUGGCGAGUGGCGAACGGGUGAGUAAUACAUCGGAACGUGCCCUGUAGUGGGGGAUAACUAGUCGAAAGAUUAGCUAAUACCGCAUACGACCUGAGGGUGAAAGCGGGGGACCGCAAGGCCUCGCGCUACAGGAGCGGCCGAUGUCUGAUUAGCUAGUUGGUGGGGUAAAAGCCUACCGAGGCGACGAUCAGUAGCUGGUCUGAGAGGACGAUCAGCCACACUGGGACUGAGACACGGCCCAGACUCCUACGGGAGGCAGCAGUGGGGAAUUUUGGACAAUGGGGGCAACCCUGAUCCAGCAAUGCCGCGUGUGUGAAGAAGGCCUUCGGGUUGUAAAGCACUUUUGUCCGGAAAGAAAUGGCUCUGGUUAAUACCCGGGGUCGAUGACGGUACCGGAAGAAUAAGCACCGGCUAACUACGUGCCAGCAGCCGCGGUAAUACGUAGGGUGCGAGCGUUAAUCGGAAUUACUGGGCGUAAAGCGUGCGCAGGCGGUUUUGUAAGACAGGCGUGAAAUCCCCGAGCUCAACUUGGGAAUGGCGCUUGUGACUGCAAGGCUAGAGUAUGUCAGAGGGGGGUAGAAUUCCACGUGUAGCAGUGAAAUGCGUAGAGAUGUGGAGGAAUACCGAUGGCGAAGGCAGCCCCCUGGGACGUCACUGACGCUCAUGCACGAAAGCGUGGGGAGCAAACAGGAUUAGAUACCCUGGUAGUCCACGCCCUAAACGAUGUCAACUAGUUGUUGGGGAUUCAUUUCUUCAGUAACGUAGCUAACGCGUGAAGUUGACCGCCUGGGGAGUACGGUCGCAAGAUUAAAACUCAAAGGAAUUGACGGGGACCCGCACAAGCGGUGGAUGAUG